UGCUCAACAUGACUGAUUCAAAAAACAUCUGUGGACAGCCUGCCAUAUACUUCAGUCUUUCACUAUGAUUUAAAAAUAUAAGAAGUCUUUUGAUAGAUCCUGGUUAUUUUUCCUACAGCUGGUCUAAGAACAUGUAAAGAGAUUAUCAAUGUCCAAAAGAUGGUCUCAGUACACUUUUCUGGAUCUUCAUGAUAUUGCACACUGAAAUGUCAAUUCCUGCCUGAAACCAUAAAGAAAACCCAAAUCUGUGGGCAGAUUUGACACAGAGUUGACAAUCUCACCAUUUCAUGUUUAUGAAGGAGAGAGGCAAUUUGU